rnacentral:rRNA from 1 species
CCUUACGGCUCAGUAACACGUGGAUAACAUGCCCUUGGGUCCGGCAUAACCCCGGGAAACUGGGGAUAAUUCCGGAUAACGCACAUAUGCUGGAAUGCUUUAUGCGUAAAAUGGAUUCGUCUGCCCAAGGAUGGGUCUGCGGCCUAUCAGGUAGUAGUGGGUGUAAUGUACCUACUAGCCGACGACGGGUACGGGUUGUGAGAGCAAGAGCCCGGAGAUGGAUUCUGAGACAUGAAUCCAGGCCCUACGGGGCGCAGCAGGCGCGAAAACUUUACAAUGCGGGAAACCGUGAUAAGGGGACACCGAGUGCCAGCGUCAUACGCUGGCUGUCCAGGUGUGUAAAAUACACCUGUUAGCAAGGGCCGGGCAAGACCGGUGCCAGCCGCCGCGGUAACACCGGCGGCCCGAGUGGUGAUCGUGAUUAUUGGGUCUAAAGGGUCCGUAGCCGGUUUGGUCAGUCCUCCGGGAAAUCUGAUAGCUCAACUAUUAGGCUUUCGGGGGAUACUGCCAGACUUGGAACCGGGAGAGGUAAGAGGUACUACAGGGGUAGGAGUGAAAUCUUGUAAUCCCUGUGGGACCACCUGUGGCGAAGGCGUCUUACCAGAACGGGUUCGACGGUGAGGGACGAAAGCUGGGGGCACGAACCGGAUUAGAUACCCGGGUAGUCCCAGCCGUAAACGAUGCUCGCUAGGUGCCAGGCAUGGCGCGACCGUGUCUGGUGCCGCAGGGAAGCCGUGAAGCGAGCCACCUGGGAAGUACGGCCGCAAGGCUGAAACUUAAAGGAAUUGGCGGGGGAGCAC